CGGGGCGUAGCGCAGCCUGGUAGCGCACCUGCCUUGGGCGCAGGGGGUCGGAGGUUCAAAUCCUCUCGCCCCGA
rfam:Acidobacteria bacterium 13_1_40CM_4_58_4 13_1_40cm_4_scaffold_1762, whole genome shotgun sequence.